GAGCGGUGCGAAUGAGGCGGCGGCGCUGCCGGUCUGACGGCCCCCGCGGGGCGCCGCUGCUCUUCAGGCAGGAAUGCGGCCGCGUCAUCGCGGAGGGGCCGCCCGCCGGUACCGCACCGCGCCGCCCCCCGGCCGGCCCGGCCCGGCCCGACCCUGCCCUUCCCGUCCGGCCCCCAGGGGACGGCAGCGUGCGGGCACGGUGAGGCGAAGCCCGCUGCUUGCCGUGGGGCCGGUGCUUGCGAACUGUCCUUGUAUAUAGAAAACCACGAUGAGGUUUCUGCGCUCGUUUAUGAGAAUAAAAACUGGUAAAAUACAUUUAGGAAGAAAAAUCGCAAUUUCUGUGUCUAAUGGCUCCAUUAUUGGAGGGCUCGCUGUGCGGCGUGUGAGUGCUAUUCGCACUGCGCUGGAAUAUCGAGUCUGUAAAAUCUUUGCCCAUUUAGCCCGUUUGAUGGUCCAAAUGGUCUACUUUUUCAAGCGGUUUUAAGUAAUGCCUCACUGAUUGAAUUAUAAUUUUCCUGACUGUAAUUGCCAAGAAUGUCCUUGGCAAAACAUACAUACAAUGUGUUUCAUCCAAUUUUGAAAUAUAUUUUGUAAUCAGAAUAAUAAAAGUUAAUAUUCAUCAGUUCCUCCCA